GCCAGAGCCGAGAUGGCUGAUGGCAGCAUUUGCAUUGGGAUCUGAGAGAUACAGUAAGAACAGACUAGUUAUACCAAAAAAAGAAAAGAAAAAAAGGGGGUUUCAGGGAAUUAACCCCUCAGGGUUAAGAGAUUUGACUUCCCAAGAGCCCAGCAGAGAGCUCCACCUAAGGAGUCAGUGAAAGAAGAAGGGACUCGGUUACCAAGGACUGACUGAUUGGCUGAGGAUCGUGGGGUUUUAGAGGGACUGCUCGUGGCCCCCAACCAGUUUCUCCACAAGAAUGAGCUGUUUCCAUCUCUAAUUCAGGAAACAUUAACAGAGCCUUGUCCGAGAAGACAGUCACAGGUUCGGUUCUGAAGGACUCCUGAGCAUCCUCCAUGGCUCGGUGCCACCCCCGGCAGAGGGCCCCCCGGACUCCCGAGGAGCCGGCAUCCCUCCGGCUUUGCCCGGGACUUGCCAUCUGUAACGCGCACAGAGGAUGUUUGGGUUCCCCUACAUGGAGAGCAGCCCUCCUCAGCCAAGUGGCUCAGGGCUGCACCGAGCCCCAGCUCCCUAACGAGGAGAACAGGCCUGAUGUUAAACAGGCUGUUUAGCAUGCUGACCUAUUUUUAGCUGAAUCUUCUGCUGGUUGCUAAAUAUCUGUUUAAAUACAUGAAUUAGCGCGUCUGUCAACAGUACUUAGAGCGGGAAUAAAACAUGAUCUAACGGCGGAAGGUAAUUUA